rnacentral:rRNA from 1 species
ACUGCUCAGUAACACGUGGCUAAUCUGCCCUUGGGACCGGAACACCCCCGGGAAACUGGGGCUAAUUCUCGAUAGGUGAAGAACUCUGGAAUGAGUCUUUGCCAAAAAGACGUUUACGUUAUGCUCGUAGGCGUCGCCCAAGGAUGAGGCCGCGACCGAUCAGGUUGUUGGUGAGGUAAUGGCUCACCAAGCCUUUUACCGGUGCGGGCCGUGAGAGCGGGAGCCCGGAGAUGGGCACUGAGACAAGGGCCCAGGCCCUACGGGGCGCAGCAGUCGCGAAAACUUUGCAAUACACGAAAGUGUGACAGGGCUAUCCCGAGUGCCAUCCGCUGAGGAAGGCUUUUACCCAGUCUAGAACGCUGGGGGAAUAAGGAGAGGGCAAGUCUGGUGUCAGCCGCCGCGGUAAUACCAGCUCUCCGAGUGGUGUGGAUGUUUAUUGGGCCUAAAGCAUCCGUAGCUGGCUGAGUUAGUCCCUUGUUAAAUCCACCGAAUUAAUCGUUGGAUUGCGGGGGAUACUGCUCGGCUAGGGGACGAGAGAGGCAGACGGUAUUUCCGGGGUAGGGGUGAAAUCCUAUAAUCCCGGGAAGACCACCAGUGGCGAAGGCUGUCUGCUAGAACGCGCCCGACGGUGAGGGAUGAAAGCUGGGGGAGCGAACCGGAUUAGAUACCCGGGUAGUCCCAGCUGUAAACGAUGCAGGCUAGGUGUUUGGACGGCCACGUGCCGUUCUAGUGCCGCAGGGAAGCUGUUAAGCCUGCCGCCUGGGGAGUACGAUCGCAAGAUUGAAACUUAAAGGAAUUGGCGGGGGAGCA